GAUGAACGCUAGCGGCAGGCUUAACACAUGCAAGUCGAGGGGUAUAGUUCUUCGGAAUUAGAGACCGGCGCACGGGUGCGUAACGCGUAUGCAAUCUACCUUUCACAGAGGGAUAGCCCCAGAGAAAUUUGGAUUAAUACCUCAUAGUAUAGUACUUUGGCAUCAAGGAACUAUUAAAGUCACAACGGCAAAAGAUGAGCAUGCGUCCCAUUAGCUAGUUGGUAAGGUAACGGCUUACCAAGGCUACGAUGGGUAGGGGUCCUGAGAGGGAGAUCCCCCACACUGGUACUGAGACACGGACCAGACUCCUACGGGAGGCAGCAGUGAGGAAUAUUGGACAAUGGACGCAAGUCUGAACCAGCCAUGCCGCGUGCAGGAUGACGGUCCUAUGGAUUGUAAACUGCUUUUGUACGAGAAGAAACAACAUUACGUGUAAUGUCUUGACGGUAUCGUAAGAAUAAGGAUCGGCUAACUCCGUGCCAGCAGCCG
rnacentral:rRNA from 1 species